CUUUGAUAAAUGCCAUUUCUUGGUUA
rnacentral:piRNA from 1 species